rnacentral:tRNA from 1 species
GGAAUGUAAGUACGCGAGGGGGGCGGAUGUAGCCAAGUGGAUCAAGGCAGUGGAUUGUGAAUCCACCAUGCGCG